rnacentral:pre_miRNA from 1 species
GGGGGGAGGUCGGAUCCUGGGCUGUGUCCCAGCGCCCAGUGCUCCCAGGCCUGCGCUGUUGGAUUAGCCCUCUCGGCCGCGCAGCCCCCU